GGGUAUGAUCACACCAGCACCAGUACACUGGAUCCCAUCAGAACUCCGUAGUUAAGUGUGCUUGGGCGAGAGUAGUACUGGGAUGGGUGACCUCCUGGGAAGUCCUCGUCUUGCACCCC